rnacentral:rRNA from 1 species
GUGCCAGCCGCCGCGGUAAUACCGGCAGCCCGAGUGAUGGCCGAUCUUAUUGGGCCUAAAGCGUCCGUAGCUGGCUGCGCAAGUCCGUUGGGAAAUCCACCCGCCUAACGGGUGGGCGUCCAGCGGAAACUGUCCGGCUUGGGGCCGAACGACCCGAGGGGUACGUCCGGGGUAGGAGUGAAAUCCUGUAAUCCUGGACGGACCGCCGGUGGCGAAAGCGCCUCGGGAGGACGGACCCGACGGUGAGGGACGAAAGCCAGGGUCUCGACCCGGAUUAGAAACCCGUGUAUCC